GAUGAACGCUGGCGGCGUGCCUAAUACAUGCAAGUCGAGCGAACAGACGAGGAGCUUGCUCCUCUGACGUUAGCGGCGGACGGGUGAGUAACACGUGGAUAACCUACCUAUAAGACUGGGAUAACUUCGGGAAACCGGAACUAAUACCGGAUAAUAUAUUGAACCGCAUGGUUCAAUAGUGAAAGACGGUUUUGCUGUCACUUAUAGAUGGAUCCGCGCCGCAUUAGCUAGUUGGUAAGGUAACGGCUUACCAAGGCAACGAUGCGUAGCCGACCUGAGAGGGUGAUCGGCCACACUGGAACUGAGACACGGCCCAGACUCCUACGGGAGGCAGCAGUAGGGAAUCUUCCGCAAUGGGCGAAAGCCUGACGGAGCAACGCCGCGUGAGUGAUGAAGGUCUUCGGAUCGUAAAACUCUGUUAUUAGGGAAGAACAAAUGUGUAAGUAACUAUGCACGUCUUGACGGUACCUAAUCAGAAAGCCACGGCUAACUACGUG
rnacentral:rRNA from 1 species